UGGGGAAUAUUGGACAAUGGGCGAAAGCCUGAUCCAGCCAUGCCGCGUGUGUGAAGAAGGUCUUCGGAUUGUAAAGCACUUUAAGUUGGGAGGAAGGGCAGUAAGCGAAUACCUUGCUGUUUUGACGUUACCGACAGAAUAAGCACCGGCUAACUCUGUGCCAGCAGCCGCGGUAAUACAGAGGGUGCAAGCGUUAAUCGGAAUUACUUGGCGUAAAGCGCGCGUAGGUGGUUCGUUAAGUUGAAUGUGAAAGCCCCGGGCUCAACCUGGGAACUGCAUCCAAAACUGGCGAGCUAGAGUAGGGCAGAGGGUGGUGGAAUUUCCUGUGUAGCGGUGAAAUGUGUAGAUAUAGGAAGGAACACCAGUGGCGAAGGCGACCACCUGGGCUCAUACUGACACUGAGGUGCGAAAGCGUGGGGAGCAAACAGG
rnacentral:rRNA from 1 species